rnacentral:rRNA from 1 species
GACGAACGCUGGCGGCGUGCCUAAUACAUGCAAGUCGAGCGGAACUGGGGGAGCUUGCUCCUUCCAGUUUAGCGGCGGACGGGUGAGUAACACGUGGGCAACCUGCCCUGCAGAUCGGGAUAACUCCGGGAAACCGGUGCUAAUACCGAAUAGUUUGGCGCCUCUCCUGAGGCGCUACGGAAAGACGGUUUCGGCUGUCACUGCAGGAUGGGCCCGCGGCGCAUUAGCUAGUUGGUAGGGUAACGGCCCACCAAGGCGACGAUGCGUAGCCGACCUGAGAGGGUGACCGGCCACACUGGGACUGAGACACGGCCCAGACUCCUACGGGAGGCAGCAGUAGGGAAUCUUCCGCAAUGGACGCAAGUCUGACGGAGCAACGCCGCGUGAGUGACGAAGGUUUUCGGAUCGUAAAACUCUGUUGUGAGGGAAGAACACGUACUAACUAACUACUGGUACCUUGACGGUACCUCGCCAGAAAGCCACGGCUAACUACGUGCCAGCCGCCGCAGUAA